rnacentral:misc_RNA from 1 species
GCCCAUCGGAAAGAUAUGACUCACAGAGUGAUACACUGGAUAAAGGUUCUUCAAAUGCUCAAGCCAUUAAUUCUUCGGAGCUAGGCUCGAUACGUGGAUCCAUGAUGAUUAAGCAGAAGAAGAGGGAAAUGCGCAUCGACGAAGUUGCUGGAAGUGCUUCCUCCAGGCUCACCCCAGGCACUAAAGGCAAGAGAAGCGACAGAGAAAGG